GAUGAACGCUGGCGGCGUGCCUAAUACAUGCAAGUCGAGCGAACGGACGAGAAGCUUGCUUCUCUGAUGUUAGCGGCGGACGGGUGAGUAACACGUGGAUAACCUACCUAUAAGACUGGGAUAACUUCGGGAAACCGGAGCUAAUACCGGAUAAUAUUUUGAACCGCAUGGUUCAAAAGUGAAAGACGGUCUUGCUGUCACUUAUAUAUGGAUCCGCGCUGCAUUAGCUAGUUGGUAAGGUAACGGCUUACCAAGGCAACGAUGCAUAGCCGACCUGAGAGGGUGAUCGGACACACUGGAAUUGAGACACGGUCCAGACUACUACGGGAGGCAGCAGUAGGGAAUCUUCCGAAAUGGGCGAAAGCCUGACGGAGCAAAGCCGCGUGAGUGAUGAAGGUCUUCGGAUCGUAAAACUCUGUUAUUAGGGAAGAACAGAUGUGUAAGUAACUGUGCACAUCUUGACGGUACCUAAUCAGAAAGCCACGGCUAACUACGUG
rnacentral:rRNA from 1 species